AUGAACGCUGGCGGCGUGCCUCAUACCUGCAAGUCGAACGAACAGACGAGGAGCUUGCUCCUUCGACGUUAGCGGCGGACGGGUGAGUAACACGUAGGUAACCUACCUAUAAGACUGGGAUAACUUCGGGAAACCGGAGCUAAUACCGGAUAAUAUUUCGAACCGCCUGGUUCGAUAGGUAAAGAUGGCUUUGCUAUCACUUAUAGAUGGACCUGCGCCGUAUUAGCUAGUUGGUAAGGUAACGGCUUACCAAGGCAACGAUACGUAGCCGACCUGAGAGGGUGAUCGGCCACACUGGAACUGAGACACGGUCCAGACUCCUACGGGAGGCAGCAGUAGGGAAUCUUCCGCAAUGGGCGAAAGCCUGACGGAGCAACGCCGCGUGAGUGAUGAAGGUCUUCGGAUCGUAAAACUCUGUUAUUAGGGAAGAACAAACGUGUAAGUAACUGUGCACGUCUUGACGGUACCUAAUCAGAAAGCCACGGCUAACUACGUG
rnacentral:rRNA from 1 species